GUGGCAGACCUGCCUAUGUUGCAUUGAUAAGUAGUUUAAUGUGACUUAAGGCUGCCACACACAUUAAACCCCAAUGGUUUCUGCCGACAGGGCCUGUCCAGACAUCAGGUUUCCUGUGCGAUGAUUCCAUACAGA